GGCACAAGCGGUGGAGUAUGUGGUUUAAUUCGAUGCAACGCGAAGAACCUUACCUGGCCUUGACAUCCCGGGAAUUUCCUGGAAACAGGAGAGUGCUUUCAUUAGAGAGAACCUGGAGACAGGUGCUGCAUGGCUGUCGUCAGCUCGUGUCGUGAGAUGUUGGGUUAAGUCCCGCAACGAGCGCAACCCUUGCCUUUAGUUGCCAGCAGUUCGGCUGGGCACUCUAAAGGGACUGCCGGUGUCAAACCGGAGGAAGGUGGGGAUGACGUCAAGUCCUCAUGGCCUUUAUGGCCAGGGCUACACACGUACUACAAUGGCCGGUACAAAGGGCAGCGACAUUGCGAGAUGGAGCGAAUCCCGAAAAGCCGGUCUCAGUCCGGAUUGGAGUCUGCAACUCGACUCCAUGAAGUUGGAAUCGCUAGUAAUCGUGGAUCAGCAUGCCACGGUGAAUACGUUCCCGGGCCUU
rnacentral:rRNA from 1 species